CAGGUGUGCGCCACCACACCCAGCCUAGGCCCUACACAAGUCUUUUACUGAAAUGACUGAAGAAAAAACAACUACAUACCAGAAACUGAGGAAUUUUCUCCAAGACAAGAACUGAAAUGAGGAAAAGGACAACUUACAUUCUACCCUCUGCAGGUCCGAUAAGACCAGAGAUACAAUCUUAGCAGCAGUACCCCACUCAUAAAACCCUUAUACUGGAACAACCUGGACAACUGGGACAAGAGCCAAGGUGGCUUGUGAUACAGUUGGAAGGGCUGAUGGAAAGCACAGCAGGCUAUUCUACAGAUUUCGUAUUUGGCGUUCCAAAAGCCAUCUCAGACUUCAAAGCUAUCUAUAGCAGAGCAAUAAAGUAGAAAAGUGUCCUGACCCCAGACCCUAAAAAUGGCCAAACCAGAGAACCUGGCCAUUUGAGAGAAAUAUCUAUCUUAAAUUACUUCUACCUAUCGUGGGAUUUUCUGUUUCUUGCAGAAAGAGACUAUUAUAGGGCUGGAAUAUAGCUCAGUGGCACAGCACCUGCCUGGCAACCACAAGGUCCUGAGUUCAAUUCUUGAUACCAAAAAGAGAGACAGAGAGACUAUUACAUUUUGCUUAAUGAGUUUAGUUGGUAAAUUGGGAUGGGAAGUAUUUAAUACUGAAAUAACUGAAAGUAUUUUAUUUAAUUAAAAAUAAUGCCGGGCAUGGUGGUGCAUGCAGCACUUGGAGGAUUAGACAG